rnacentral:rRNA from 1 species
UACGGAGGGGGCUAGCGUUGUUCGGAAUUACUGGGCGUAAAGCGCACGUAGGCGGACCAGUCAGUUGGGGGUGAAAUCCCGGGGCUCAACCCCGGAACUGCCUCCAAAACUGCUGGUCUGGAGGUCGAGAGAGGCGAGUGGAAUUCCGAGUGUAGAGGUGAAAUUCGUAGAUAUUCGGAGGAACACCAGUGGCGAAGGCGGCAUUCUGGACCGAAACUGACGCUGAGGCGCGAAAGCCAGGGGAGCAAACGGG